rnacentral:rRNA from 1 species
CCAUCUAAAGCUAAAUAUUGGCGAGAGACCGAUAGCGAACAAGUACAGUGAUGGAAAGAUGAAAAGAACUUUGAAAAGAGAGUGAAAAAGUACGUGAAAUUGUUG